GACGUCGAAUAUCGACGUCAUCAACACCAAAGUUGAUCGUGUUUAUGUCGUCGAAUAUCGACGUCAUAAACAUCUACCUUGAUCGUCUUUAUGACGUCGACAUAAAAGUUGAUCGCGUUUAUGACGUCGAAUAUCAACGUCAUAAACAUCUAAGUUGCUCGUGUUUAUGACGUCGAAUAUCGACGUCAUAAACAUCAAAGUUGAUCUUGUUUAUGACGUCCAAUAUCGACGUUAUAAACACUAAAGUUGAUCGUGUUUAUGUCGUCGAAUAUCGACGUC